rnacentral:pre_miRNA from 1 species
AUCCCACCCUGUUCGCAAUGGCACUGCAUGAAUUCACGGAUGCAAAGCGACAGACCGCGGAUCAUGCGGUACCAUAGCUGACGGUGGUGAGAU